UGAAUACGAGAUGCUACGGCGUCGAAGCAGUCUAUGUCAUACUUCCAAGAAAAGCUCGCACUGUCAUAAACAAAUAAUGCCUGUACCAUAACCGACACAGGUGGGUAGGUAGAGUAUACUAAGGGGCGCGAGAUAACUCUCUCUAAGGAACUCGGCAAAAUGACUCCGUAACUUCGGGAGAAGGAGUGCCUUAUUUAUAAGGUUGCAAUAACAAGAUCCAAGCAACUGUUUAUCAAAAACACAGGUCUCCGCUAAGUCGUAAGACGAUGUAUGGGGGCUGACGCCUGCCCAGUGCCAGAAGGUUAAAGAAGUUGGUUAGCAUUCGCGAAGCUGAUAACUGAAGCCCUGGUGAACGGCGGCCGUAACAAUAACGGUCCUAAGGUAGCGAAAUUCCUUGUCGGGUAAGUUCCGACCCGCACGAAAGGCGUAAUGAUUUGGAUACUGUCUCGGAGAGGGGCUCGGUGAAAUAGACUUGUCUGUGAAGAUGCGGACUACCUGCACCAGGACAGAAAGACCCUAUGAAGCUUUACUGUAACUUGAGAUUGAAAUUGGACUUUACUUGCGCAGUAUAGGUGGGAGGCGUUGAUAAUAUUCUUGCGGGAUUAUUUGAGCCAUCAGUGAGAUACCACUCUUGUAAUGUUAGAUUUCUAACUUUGUAUCAUUAUCUGGUCAAAGGACAGUUUCAGGCGGGCAGUUUGACUGGGGCGGUCGCCUCCUAAACGGUAACGGAGGCGCACAAAGGUUUCCUCUGAACGGGUAGAAAUCGUAUCUAGAGUGUAAAGGCAUAAGGAAGCUUGACUGUGAGACCUACAAGUCGAGCAGGGACGAAAGUCGGUCUUAGUGAUCUGACGGUGCUGAGUGGAAAGGCCGUCACUCAACGGAUAAAAGUUACUCUAGGAUAACAGGCUGAUCUCCCCCAAGAGUUCACAUCGACGGGGAGGUUUGGCACCUCGAUGUCGGCUCAUCGCAUCCUGGGGCGGUAGUACGUCCCAAGGGUUGGGCUGUUCGCCCAUGAAAGCGGUACGCGAGCUGGGUUCAGAACGUCGUGAGACAGUUCGGUCCAUAUCCGGUGUAGGCGUUAGAAUAUUGAGAGGAGCCUUCUUUAGUACGAGAGGACCGAGAAGGACAUACCUCUGGUGUACCAGUUAUCGUGCCAACGGUAAACGCUGGGUAGCUAUGUAUGGAGUGGAUAACCGCUGAAAGCAUCUAAGUGGGAAGCCCACCUCAAGAUAAG
rnacentral:rRNA from 1 species